rnacentral:lncRNA from 1 species
UUGAGUAUAGCUUUGGAGGGUACAGAAGAGGCAGAAAUCCUAAAAGGAGUGUGAGAGAUAAAGAAGAGAGGGUUUAUAAAAAACGUGUGGAAAAAGUACCAACAAAUCUCGUAUGGUCUCGACCAUUGAAUAUAUUGAUGAGGAAAUGAUCGGUUUAUGUCGAUCGUUCGAUUGAAGAUUGUAAGGGUUUGGAUUAAAUUGAUGUGUGGUGUCUCUUUUGCAAAGACUCGUAGUGGUUAGGGAAGAAUGGGGAGUUACAGAAAAGGGGGAAGACGGAGGGACGCAGGAAGAAGAAAGGAAAAGGGAUGACACAUGAGUUAUAUAGAUGGUUGUGGAGAAGAAUGAGGAGUUAUACAGAGGAGGAAAAUGAAGUGACACAGGGAGGGAAAGAGAAGACGGAGUCACGGGAGUUACAUAGAGAGAGAGGGUAAGCGAGCCAUCUAAAUGAGAAAAAAAAAACUCUUAAAACAAGGAUGUUGCGCCACGUCAGCAAAAUUAUUGGGAAAUAAUAUAUGUUUAUAGAUUUAUAGAUUAUUGGGAAAUAAUAUAUGUUUAUAGAUGUUGCGCCAUGUCAGCAAAAUUAUUGAGAAAUAAUAUAUGUUUAAAGAUGAGCACAAUUCAUAUCUAAUAUUGCCCUUCAAAACUUUCAAAAUAUCUAACAUAUAUCUAUUAAUCAAAAUACCUUUAUUAAUUUUCAAAAGUUUCUUCAAAAAUCCAAACAUCUGAGAUUUAGUAAUGGAAAUUGGGAUUUAGAAGGGUACUUAGAUAAUUUUAGGUUAAAUUUGAAAAUUUUGAAUAGUAGCCAAGAGUAAAUAAGCAAAAUCCUUCUUUUUUGGUAUAAAAUUACAGAACUUAUUUAUACUAUGGAUCAUUUUGAUUCGACAAUUCAAUCUGUGAAAAUUUUAACUUUACUACCCAACUUUUCGAUUUAUUUGAUUUCAGUUGUCAACGACACUUUGACCUUAAAAUUUAAACGCAUUUUGUAGAUUUAGUUAGUAUAAUUCAUGUAACUUGCGCUACUAUACAUUUAUUAAAAUAAAUAAUAGCUUAGAUUUUUAAGAGAAUUAUACGAAUUAUUCUGUGUCGUUAGAUAUAUUUAGUUAGUACAAUCCAAUCUUUUUCUUUUUUUUUUUUCUUUUCUUUCACUAUACGCAUUCUUUUCUGCUACUGCACCCCUCCCUUGCCCUUUGCCACAACUGCCGCCCCUAUCCAGACGUGCUCUCUCUCUCUCACCGUCGUCCUCAAAUACCGCAACACCCUCAUCACCGUCACUAUCACUGUCGUUGCCACCGCUCAUGGCUACGCCCUCCACCAAAGUCUCACCUCAACAAUCUAUACUGCAUUAACUCCGGCGUCGGCGGAGGUGUGGGCAAAAUAGGAGAGAGAAGCACGGCAUUAACAUGGAGGUGGUGGAGGAGGGAAGGGAAGUGGGAGGAGAAAGAGAAAAAGGAACAGCGAAGAGGCAAGAGAAAAACGAAUUACAGAGAAAGGCAAGAAAAAGAGGAAUAAAUAUAUUUUGGUUAGUUUACUAAAAUUCAAUUCUAAUUUGCAAAACUUAAAAAAAUGAUAUAUUUUUGCAGAAAUGCAAGACCAAAAAAAUGAUAUAUUUUUGCAGAAACGCAAGACCAGUGACUUCUUUAUGCAAAUUGGCCAGUUAUUACUAAAUUAUUUAUCUNGAAAUGUGAAUCAACUAUGAUUCGAACUUGGGACCUCAGUACCAACCAUCAAGCCUUUCGCCACUUGCUCUAGGGAUGGUCGGUGAGAAGAGUUAUGAAUGCGGUGAAUCAUUCACCGCAUUUAGAGGUCUAUUUUUAUAAUUAUUUUUUAAAAAAAUUUAUUUUUACAAUUAUAAAAAUUGAUAGGAUUAUUUAUAAAAAAAUUCUUUUAAAAGCACAAAAACAUCUAUGCUUAUAAUUUUUUAAUCGUUGAAUCGUCUCAAGAUUCGUACAGUACUAGUAAAAAAAAAAAUCUUAAUAGGAUACACAAUUAAUAGUACUAUAAAAAUUUUGAGUCAAUUCGACGGUUAAAAUCACAAGCACAGAUAUUUUUAGUUUAAAAGUACACUAGUGUAGUUACCCGCACGAUGUGACGGGUAGAUAUUAUCAAAAUAAUUAUUUUUUUUAGUCAUUGUUGAUCAUCGAUAAUAUUUCAGAGAAGUAAGCCUAAAAUAUACAGUUCAUCAAAUAUAUAGAAAAUAAUACUCUAAAUAUGAAAUGAAGAACGUUAGUUUAAAUAGUUCGCAAGAAUUGGUAAAAAACUACUAAAAAUAAUUUUUUAUAUGUAUUCACUCAACAAUCUAUACAAUUAAACUCAAAGUGAAGAAAGUGAUUAAACUAUAAAAAAAAGAUAAAUACACGUCUGCAAGAUAUAAAAUCUUUAGAAUUAAACAGUAUACAGGAAACAUGAAUAACGUAAACAAUCGUACAUACAAAUAAAUCACAAAAUAUGUCCAAAAUUUAUGGGUUCUCCCUUGUGUAGAGGAGCAAUAAGGGUACCAAAAUUUUGAGAUCCUCCUUGUCGAUGAUGUUGAACCUUUGGCGAAAAUACUUGUAAAGAACCUCCCAAACGACAUUUGACACCUUGUUCCCCACCUCAAGGAUCCGAUCUAUAGAGUCGAAAAUUAGAUCGAUCAAAGACAAAAUCAAUAGAAAAUAAUGCGAAACCUUACCAAUUCGAGGCGAUUUUGAACCGUGGGCAAGAUUUGCCAAAAUUUCUUGAGCAUACGUAGAGAGAGAGAUUAGUGACGGAUAAAUAUUACUAAUAAUUCAAUAGAGAUGAGACAAUUAUAUUAACAAAAUCUCUAAAACAAAAAAAAAAAAAGAAUAUUAGUAAUUUAGCAAGGUUUUUAUCAAGAGUCUUGAUGAACUGGUUCAAAGUGGGGAGCACUUUCAACCUCUGCUUGAGAAUUCUACUUUGUCACUGGAUCCGCACCACCUUCGGCCACUUCACGAAGCAAAUGAAGUCCCUCUUCAGCUAGAGAGCUCUGUCGAUCCCGAAGAGGAUCAUUCCAUAACACCACUUUGAGUAUAGCUUUGGAGGGUACAGAAGAGGCAAAAAUCCUAAAAGGAGUGUGAGAGAUAAAGAAGAUAGGGUUUAUAAAAAACGUGUGGAAAAAGUACCAACAAAUCUCGUAUGGUCUCGACCAUUGAAUAUAUUGAUGAGGAAAUGAUCGGUUUAUAUCGAUCGUUCAAUUGAAAAUUGUAAGGGUUUGGAUUAAAACUGAUGUGUGGUGUCUCUUUUGCAAAGACUCGUAGUGGUUAGGGAAGAUGGGGAGUUACAGAAAAGGGGGAAGACGAAGGGACACAGGAAGAAGAAAGGAAAGGGGAUGACACAUGAGUUAUAUAGAUGGUUGUGGAGAAGAAUGAGGAGUUAUAGAGAAGAGGAAAAUGAAGUGACACAGGGAGGGAAAGAGAAGACGGAGUCACGGGAGUUACAUAGAGAGAGAGGGUAAGCAAGCCAUCUAAAUGAGAAAAAAAAAACUCUUAAAGCAAGGAUGUUGCGCCACAUCAGCAAAAUUAUUGGAAAAUAAUAUAUGUUUAUAUAUAAUUAGGAAAUAAUAUAUGUUUAUAGAUGUUGCGCCAUGUCAGCAAAAUUAUUGGAAAAUAAUAUAUGUUUAUAGAUGAGCACAAUUCAUAUCUAAUAUUGCCCUUCAAAACUUUCAAAAUAUCUAACAUAUAUCUUAUUAAUCAAAAUACCUUUAUUAAUUUUCAAAAGUUUCUUCAAAAAUCCAAACAUCUGAGAUUUAGUAAUGGAAAUUGGGAUUUAGAAGGGUACUUAGAUAAUUUAGGUUAAAUUUGAAAAUUUUGAAUAGUAGCCAAGAGUAAAUAAGCAAAAUCUGUUUAAUCCUUUUAGGAGCCAUUUGGUUAAAUGUAAUUACAAAUGCAGUGUAAUUGAAGAUGCAUGCAGUUGAAAAUGGAGCAGUUACAACUACAUGCAUCAUGUUUGGUUGGAUGUAGUGGAAAGCGCUGUAACUAUAAAUAAUUUGUUUGAUUGCAUGCAGUCGAGAAAUAAUUUUUAAAAUUUUAUCAUUAUAUAUCUAUAUGAUGGUAAGAUUACCUCCAAUGUAAAAAAAUUUUAUUUUUUGUUUAAAAAAUAUUUAAAGAGGUAAAGUUACCUUUUGUUUAAAGUUGCACUCUCUAACUGCUGCAGUUGAAACUGCGGCCGAUUUGGGCGUAGUUCCAACUGCUGCAGUUGGACCUCCUCCUGCAGUUCCUACUGCAGCAAUUGGAUUUAAAUACAUCAAACCAAACACCGAAUUUGCAUUUGCAUACAGUUACAACUGCCGUACAGGCAACUACAUGCAACCAAACAGCCCUUUAGAUUCUAACAUCUUCGUCAGUCCAAUCACACACACAGUCCAAGAUCACCAGACGAUGUGAGGCUUACCUCACACUUUCGGUGAGUACACACACAGUCCAAAAUCACGAGACGAUGUGAGGCCUACCUCACAGUUUCGGCCAGUAAACCAGAAUCGGCUCUGAUAUCAAAUAUAACGAUCAGACUCACUAGUAAUAACAACUCUACAUGAAUUGACAGAAAAACUAGUUU